rnacentral:rRNA from 1 species
GAUGAACGCUGGCGGCGUGCCUAAUACAUGCAAGUCGAGCGAACGGACGAGAAGCUUGCUUCUCUGAUGUUAGCGGCGGACGGGUGAGUAACACGUGGAUAACCUACCUAUCAGACUGGGAUAACUUCGGGAAACCGGAGCUAAUACCGGAUGAUAUUUUGAACCGCAUGGUUCAAAAGUGAAAGACGGUCUUGCUGUCACUUAUAGAUGGAUCUGCGCUUCAUUAGCUAGUUGGUAAGGUAACGGCUUACCAAGGCAACGAUGCAUAGCCGAACUGAGAGGGGGAUCGGCGACAUUGGAACUGAGACAGGGUCAAGACUCCUACGGGAGGCAGCAGUAGGGAAGCUUCCGCAAAGGGCGAAAGCCUGACGGAGCAACGCCGCGUGAGUGAUGAAGGUCUUCGGAUCGUAAAACUCUGUUAUUAGGGAAGAACAGAUGUGUAAGUAACUGUGCACAUCUUGACGGUACCUAAUCAGAAAGCCACGGCUAACUACGUG